rnacentral:lncRNA from 1 species
AACAAAUGAAAUUAGAUAAAUUGUAUCUAAUAAAACUUAUUAUAUUUAUCUCUUCGCUAUUUAUGAAAUUAUUUUCUUCGCUAUUUAUGAAAUAUUUUCAAAUAUGGUAAGAAAACGAAGCAGCAUUACAGUUGCACUGUCUAACGGAGAUUGUCUUGGAGAAGCUUCAAAUUUUUAGUUUUCCUUUGCAAGGAUUGAGAAAAUUUUGUUGUGAUUUCUCCUCACAAGACAAGGUACAAGUCUAUAACGUUUUCUCUUUUCUUCUUCAUACAGUUAUUUGACUUAUGUUCACAAAACCAAGUCAGUGUUAAGAUGCCCCUUACAUGUUUGAUAAAAUGUCUGAAAGAUUUUAGCCAGUUUUGUUUCUUUUUGGAUAGUCCCAAUAUUGGAGUAUUCAAUCACUUCCCAGUUCCCACAAUUUACUUUGUGUAUUGUAUAUAGAACUACAAAUGCAAAUGGUGUUCCAUGAUAAUAUAAUAACAUAAAGAACAGACCUUUGUGCACACAAUAAAUUCAGACUUGAAAAAUGCAAAUGCUAAGCAGUUAUUCAACUUUGUCACUUCUUUCUCUUAUGAAAAAACAAUAGUGGAGGUUAUUUGGGAUCAAAUGCUGCAGACUUUUAGAAACAAUAUAGUGAACUUAAUGCCAUUAUAUGCUAGCAUGCUUUUUCAGUUUGUUUAAGCUUAUUCUAUGCAUUCUGUCAACUUCACAUGAGUUAUCCAGAACAGCAACUCAUUGUCAAGAUGCGUGAAGCGAACCAGCACAAUUGCUUUACAAUUCAAAAGAAAACACUUCGCUUGUUUUUUCUAGUUACAAUUUCACAUCAAUGACAAUUUCAAGCGCGGAGAUAUUUUAGUUGGAGGGAUGGAAGAGCCUAAUUAGGAUCUCCUUAUAUAAUUCAACUACUUUUUGGGAGAGCUAGUUGAUCGCGAAGCACAUUUAAAGAUCAUUACAACAAUGAGAAGCAAUUACAGAAGUUGAAUGUCAUGGUUAAAAGAACAAUUGAGAAAUGAAAGAAGAAGAACAAAAUUGUGGCCAAAUCUGAUUGUACUAGUCAUUUUAUCUGCCUUUUUAAAAUUAAACUUGUUACGAAUAUUUUCCAAGUUCAAUGAAAAAUAUUCUCAUUGCCUAAAAAGUAUUUGUUUGCUUCUUCUUGAAUAACUGCAACUAUACUGUUAAUUCUUUAUUUUUGCAAGCUGAAGUCUAAAGAGUGAGACAUCUCAAUAGAGUUUUAACUCUUCAUUUUUGUCAACACUCCAGACCAGUAAGAACCAGCAACAACGAACACUUUUGACACCGUUACUGAUUCGCACCAGCAAAAAUCAGUAGUGAUCACUGCAAAACAGCAAAAAACAACAAUUUGUAUUAUCUCUUCUUCCUCGACUAAAGUUGCCCUAGAUUAUCCUCCAAAGUUCUGAUGGAAAUAAACUUUUAGUUUUUAAAGCCUUGCUUCGCUGAAGGUGGAAAGAUCGGGCGGGAGGGACAUACUUGGGAAUUUGAGGGAAAGCUUGGCAUGUUCCAGUAUUGGUGCCAUGAGCUUCUUGACAGUUUUUAACCGAAGGAUGAACUUUGCCACUUUUUAAAUAGUACAAGAAUGUACCUUAGGUUUGGGCCACAGCCCACAGUAGAGGGAUGUUUAUAGCCAAAAAUUCAUAAAAAGAAUCACAGGUAUAUGAAAUUUACCCUGGAAAACAACCCCAGAACCAUGAAGACUCUUGAUUUGGCCAGUUUGAUCCAUUGACUACUUUUGUUUUAUGCUUCCAGAAGGCCUUCUUCUUUCUGGUAAAUCUGACUGUCCGUCCGUUUCCUUCUCUGUGUUUUCCCUCUCCAAGCAGGUGGACUCACUGUACGUUUCUUUGCUGGUAUCAGUAACCUUUGUCGCUGUGUGUUUAUUUAUUUUCCUUUUCAUUGUUCUGUUCUUUCUCACUGCAAUUGUUUUUCAGAAUUUCCGUUUCGAUUGAUCUCAUGGACUAUUGGAUACAGCUUUCCCUUCACGCGAUUUCGUCACUUUAAUUUUUCCCUUACCGCGAGAGCUUUUUUAUGUUACUUUUCCAGCAUCAAUGGAUACAUUAAGUUUUCUUUAUUAAUUAACUCUACAUUACUUCUUCCUUGUACACCAUUGUUUAUUUUCCUUCUCUCCUUUUAGCUAAUAUAUCACCAGGCCUUCUCUAACAAGCAUGUAAAAAGAACUUGAAAUGACCAAAUAUUCACAGAGUUUAUAACAUACUGAUAUUACAAGUGAUAAUGUUAAAGUAAUGAGAGAAAAUAAAAGCUACUAUAAAGAAAGUGAAGCAGGAGUGCACACACUUCCUUGUACAUGUGAAAAUAUUUAAAAGGGAGAAUGACCUAAUCAAAUCUUGUUGCAUAAAACUAACUUGAUGAUCUUGCUCUUCGUCCUGCAGAUUAUCAAAUAGAAAGUCCACCUUGAGUUGCACAUGGUCAUUAUCAAGACCUAUUGGAUUUUGUUGAAGCCGCACCCUUGUUCUUGUUGGCAAUUGUUACUGAAGGAGCCCUUAGAGCCACAUUAAAGUUCUUGUUCCUUUUGGUUGAUUCAGGAAAAUGUCUAAGUGAUAUCAGCCUCAGGUGCAUAGAUUCUUCAAACUCUUCUUGAUCGUAGUCAUUAAACUGAUUUAUAACAUCCGAAACCUUAUGUAAAUGAACAGCCUUACCUGAUUUGCUAAAAUCAAUUGUUGAUAGUGCUGAGUACUGAGUUUGAUUUCUCACUACCAAUAAAGGUAAUUGAACUUCAAGCCCAUCAACACUCACCCGAGUGUUUGCAUUGUUGUAAACUUUUGUGUUUUUUUUCCAGGUUGACUUUUGCCUGUUUGAUUGUCACAAUUAUUGCCGAUAAAGUGAGCUUCCAAACAUCUUUUUUCUUAUGAGUCGAUUGCUUAUAUUUCUUGACCUUGUGUCUGCGCCUAAGCAUGUCCUUUGAAAUAUCUCUCUUCAAGUGGCUUAGUUGUUGAUUGGCUUCAUCACAAAGAGAUACUUGGAUUUCAUUUCUAUGUACGGUGGAUAUUGUAGACUGUUUCAUGUUAAUUUUGAACUUUUAAUGGUCUCGAAGCCUUCUAUUUUUGCUUACUAGUCAUCAUGUAGUGCUAGGUGUAUAGUUGGAGUUGUACUAAAGUAGAUUUUUUUUUUUUUUACUUUUUGUGUUCUAGAGGUAAAUGGUUUCAUAGGCAGAAGGCUAAUUCCUGAACUCUGGUGGUUGAACGGGGGAUUUUGAUUAAGUUCACCAUGGUUGCUACAAAAAGACGGCAAGAAUUUCAUUCUCUCUCUCUGUCUUUGGUUGAUUCGGGAUAAUCCGACUUUUGUGAUUGGGUUGAGCUAAGAAGUCCUUGCUUUCUUGUGUUAAUUGCAGUAGAAGACUCCAUGGGGUAUUAGCAAUAGGCUUGUCUGGCUUUGAAGAGUGGCAAAUACACCAUCUGGUAUAAAACUGUCCUCAAAACUCUUAGAAAGUGUCGAAACCCACUGGGUGCAAACAAUUUCUGAGGGCCAUCGGACUGGGUAAAACCUGAAUUAACCGUGGUGCACUUGCGGGAAACUCCUUGCCGAGGGCCUGUGCACCCCCGGGAUUAGUCGGGGCUCAAAGAGACUCGGACACCCGGUGCAAAUCAAAAAAAAAAACUCUUAGAAAGUGUAAAUGGGCUUAGUGAACUUAUCACUCCAAUUCUGCUUAUUUGAUGAGCAUACAGUGAUGAUGUCCAAUGUAUCCCUGAGUGUCUAAUUGUAUUUCAUCAUGCUUUGGUUUUUGGUGAACGCUUGCUUUAUUUUGUUAAGAUAGUAAAAAGCAGCUGAUUUUUAGCUAAAUACUAUGCGAAGCUGGUUUUACAUAGGGUCUGCUUUGACUGCUAGAUUAAGAUAUGGUGUAGAGGAAUACACUUUUUGGCCGAGCACUCACAUUUAUGUAUAUGUCACGUAUCUUUCAUUUUUUCUCUGGUCAGUGUUGAACUUGUUUCAACUAAGAUACUGCAGCUGAAUGUUUUCGGAGUGAACCAACGGCCAUGGUCUGACUGGUUUGGCAUGAGAUCUGAAGAGGUCGUCUACCAGAGGC